rnacentral:rRNA from 1 species
UACGUAGGGUGCAAGCGUUAAUCGGAAUUACUGGGCGUAAAGCGUGCGCAGGCGGUUUUGUAAGUCAGAUGUGAAAUCCCCGGGCUUAACCUGGGAACUGCGUUUGAAACUACAAGGCUAGAGUGUGACAGAGGGGGGGUGGAAUUCCACGUGUAGCAGUGAAAUGCGUAGAGAUCGGGAGGAACACCCGUGGCGAAGGCGGCCAUCUGGACCAGCACUGACGCUGAGGCACGAAAGCGUGGGGAGCAAACAGG